AAACAUGACGUACCCUCAGUAUAAUGAGACCGUGGAACUACAAUUCCUGAAGACCAGCAAACAGGAUACGUUAAUCAAUCAAUUGCUGUGAUUAUCUUAACGUACACUGGGUCACUGAGUCUGAAUAUUGACCCAUCGUACGAAGCAACCACGGAUCAAACAAUCGACCUUUCACAAGUGCAAGUCUUCUCGUUUGACGACUCAGAUCUCCCUUAUUUAUACCUGUAUUUAUCAUCAAGCUUGGAUUAUGAGGUCAUCAACAAAUUCAGCCUACUCGUGACAAUAGAUGACAGUGAUGUCCCAGAAGUUACAUAUACUGUAACGUUCAACAUAACCAUAACAGAUGUGAAUGAUGAAGCACCUACGAUUUUAAAUCUUCCGUAUAACGUGACCCUGUCAAGAAACAAAAAGUCCGGUGAGUACAUCUACACUGUGAAUGCUACAGACAGCGAUGAAACGGCUGAGUUUAGGAUCAUAACGUAUAACAUAUCUU